rnacentral:lncRNA from 1 species
UCUCACUUUGUCACCCAGGCUGCAGUACAGUGGCAUGACCUUGGCUCACUGCAACCGCCGCCCCAUGGGCUCAAGCAAUCCUCCCACCUCAGCCUCCUGAGCAGCUGGGACUACAGGUACACACCAUCCGCCCGGCUAUUCUUUGUCUUUCUAGGAGAGACACGGUUUCACCAUGUUGCCCAGGCUGGUCUCAAACUCCUGAGGCUCAAGCAAUCUGCCUUCCUUGGCCUCCCAAAGUGCCGGGAUUACAGGCAUGGGCCAGCACGCCCUGCAGCCUUAUCUACUUUCUUAAUUGUCUGUUGCAGUUUCAUGUAGGUUAAUCUCAUCUGUCUACCUACCCAAUGAGAGACAGGAACUAAAACUAUUAGAGCAUCUGUAUACUACUACAGACUUCAUAGGUAAUUUUAUACAAUACUGAAGGCCAAAGUAGGAUAUGUGAAGCAACGUCAGAGAUAGUUUAUUCGCUUAACCUAAUAGGGAACUUGGAUUGGAAUCCAGAUGACUUCAAAAUCC